UGCAAGCCUGCUGGGUGUGACUCCGCUUGUCAUAGUUACUCUGAUC
rnacentral:snoRNA from 13 species